rnacentral:rRNA from 1 species
AUUGAACGCUGGCGGCAGGCCUAACACAUGCAAGUCGAACGAGUGGCGGACGGGAGAGUAAUGUCUGGGAAACUGCCUGAUGGAGGGGGAUAACUACUGGAAACGGUCGCUAAUAGCGCAUACCAUCGGAUGUGCCCAUGUGGGUUUAGCUAGUAGGUGGGGUAACGGCGCACCUAGGCGACGAUCCCUAGCUGGUCUGAGAGGAUGACCAGCCACCCUGGAACUGAGACACGGCCCAGACUCCUACGGGAGGCAGCAGUGGGGAAUAUUGCACAAUGGGCGCAAGCCUGAUGCAGCCAUGCCGCGUGUAUGAAGAAGGCCCUCGGGUUGUAAAGUACUUUCAGCGGGGAGGCGUUACCGGCAGAAGAAGCACCGGCUAACUCCGUGCCAGCAGCCGCGGUAAUAC